GAGAUCGCCUCAGUGACUUGCAAGCAACUCACUGUGCUUUGGUACUGGACUAACUGAAUUUUUAAUUCAGAGACGGAAGGCUUCUGGGCACAGUCAAGUACUUACGAAGUCAGAGUGUGAUCGAGAUGGGAUUGACCACUCCAAGAGUUGGAGAAGAAUAAGUCGUUGUAUUUCAAUUUAGCAGAACCUUGGCCAGGGUAAUCCAUCAGAUGGAUUUGAUAUUUUAAAAUACAAUGUGGACAACCUGAUCAGAGUUGACAGUGGAGCUCUGGGGUGUNNNN
rnacentral:lncRNA from 1 species